rnacentral:lncRNA from 1 species
AUGUCACCACCGAGCGCCACCAGCUCCUCCAGGCUGAGUGGCAAGGCAGGCUGUCACAGAGUGCCCACACAAAGAGCCUCUGCAGGACAGCAGGGUGUCGGCAUGGAGAGGGCAAGGUACAAAGCUGUCUCACAGGCCUGCCAGUUAAACACCCCCCAUGGGGCCAUCGCUGAAGGGCCAGGCCGCGGCUGGAGGGAAAAGCAACCCCAGCACGGUCACCCCAGCCGUGCCGUGAUGCUGGCGACAGUCGCUGCUGGCCAGCACAAGAAGGCACAGCAAGCAACAGGGCUGGCAGGGUCAGGAGACAACAGCAGGAAUGGAAGCACAGGGGCGGAAGGCACGUUAACGGAGACAAUCAGCCAAGGCAACAGAAGAGAGAGAGGGACCUCAUGGAGCAGGACUCCUGGGCAUCUUCCUCAAAUGGCUGUGAAAGACAGGGUGGCCAGCACAGCAGUCCUGUACAUGGGCCACAGCAGAAGGAACCUGGGAAGGCACUGUGGCAAGGUCACGACUGCAGCAGGAAUUGGACGCAACAACUGCUACAUUGCACUGAGCCCCUCCACCAAGACCAGGCAGCAAUACGUCAAGAGGCAAGAACGCGCCUCCGGCCCAUGAACCUGGC